rnacentral:lncRNA from 1 species
UAUUCUACUGUGGUGUUUAGAAAAUAAAAUUUUAAAACACACAUGCAUGCCCCUACGCAUGAAUUCCAACAAUCAAACCCAAUCUGAGUCGAACUAAAUCUAAUUCAAUUAGAGUUGAUCCAAAGCUCUUUGCUCAAUCAAAUUGAGUCAAUUAGUAAUCUAAUUACUAAUUAAUUCUUCAAAAAUAGUAGAAUCCCAAUUUCAAUAGGACUCUCCUCCAGAGUCCCAAUCCCAGUGGGACUCCUCACUAGAGUCACAAUCCAAUUCGACUCUUUAGCCAUCAGAUCUGACCAAAUCUUCUAAUGCAUGUGACCCCAUAGAUUCGAACCUAAGCUAGUAGCAUAGGAACAACUUUCUAUAUCAAUCGAUGUAACCAUCUAGUAAUGGUGACUUGACAAUCAGAUAGAUCGAAGUAUUGCAAAGCAACACUCUAGAAUCUACUUGCGUAUGGUUACCAUAUAAUUCAUCCUUUUAAUCCUAAUGCUCAAAGUGACCUAGAAUUAACUGUCAAUCCUAAUUUAGUU